GGGUUUGGGUUGGGUUCUCCUGCACCUGCCCGGCCGGGUUCCUGCUGGAGGCAUCACGGGAACGAUGCGUCUCCCAGCAGGCGCUGUCCGAGGUUCGGGGUCCGUGUUUUCGGCUGCUGAAUGAGGGGGGGUCCUGUGCGCUGCCCACCCUGAGGAACAUCACCCGACAGGUUUGCUGCUGCAGCCGCGUGGGCAAAGCCUGGGGGGGCUCCUGCCUCCUCUGCCCCCCCUUCGGAUCCGAGGGGUUCCGGGAGCUGUGCCCGGCCGGGCCCGGAUAUCGUUACUCGGCCUCGGACCUGCGGCUCGGAGCCCAAAUCCCCCCGAGGGGGGUCCCCCAAAACCCCCCGA